rnacentral:rRNA from 1 species
UACGGAGGAUGCAAGCGUUAUCCGGAUUCAUUGGGUUUAAAGGGUGCGUAGGCGGGCUAUUAAGUCAGUGGUGAAAUCCUGCAGCUUAACUGCAGAACUGCCGUUGAUACUGAUAGUCUUGAGUUUGGUUAAGGUAGGCGGAAUGUGUAAUGUAGCGGUGAAAUGCUUAGAUAUUACACAGAACACCAAUUGCGUAGGCAGCUUACUGAGCCGACACUGACGCUGAGGCACGAAAGCGUGGGGAGUCAAACAGGA